rnacentral:ribozyme from 1 species
UCUUCACUCCAUCCCCGGCACUCGCAAUCAAGAGAUCGACAGACCACCC